rnacentral:rRNA from 1 species
UACGAAGGGGGCUAGCGUUGCUCGGAAUCAUUGGGCGUAAAGGGCGCGUAGGCGGCCCUGUUAGUCAGGCGUGAAAUUCCUGGGCUUAACCUGGGGACUGCGUUUGAUACGGCAGGGCUUGAGGGUGGAAGAGGGUCGCGGAAUUCCCAGUGUAGAGGUGAAAUUCGUAGAUAUUGGGAAGAACACCGGUGGCGAAGGCGGCGACCUGGUCCAUACCUGACGCUGAGGCGCGACAGCGUGGGGAGCAAACAGG